ACGAACGCUGGCGGCGUGCUUAACACAUGCAAGUCGAACGGAAAGGCCCUGCUUUUGUGGGGUGCUCGAGUGGCGAACGGGUGAGUAACACGUGAGUAACCUGCCCUUGACUUUGGGAUAACUUCAGGAAACUGGGGCUAAUACCGGAUAGGAGCUCCUGCUGCAUGGUGGGGGUUGGAAAGUUUCGGCGGUUGGGGAUGGACUCGCGGCUUAUCAGCUUGUUGGUGGGGUAGUGGCUUACCAAGGCUUUGACGGGUAGCCGGCCUGAGAGGGUGACCGGCCACAUUGGGACUGAGAUACGGCCCAGACUCCUACGGGAGGCAACAGUGGGGAAUAUUGCACAAUGGGCGGAAGCCUGAUGCAGCAACGCCGCGUGCGGGAGGACGGCCUUCGGGUUGUAAACCGCUUUCGCCUGUGACGAAGCGUGAGUGACGGUAAUGGGUAAAGAAGCACCGGCUAACUACGU
rnacentral:rRNA from 1 species